CCUACGGGCGGCAGCAGUGGGGAAUAUUGCACAAUGGGCGCAAGCCUGAUGCAGCCAUGCCGCGUGUGUGAAGAAGGCCUUCGGGUUGUAAAGCACUUUCAGCGGGGAGGAAGGCGUUAAGGUUAAUAACCUUGUCGAUUGACGUUACCCGCAGAAGAAGCACCGGUUAACUCCGUGCCAGCAGCCGCGGUAAUACGGAGGGUGCAAGCGUUAAUCGGAAUUACUGGGCGUAAAGCGCACGCAGGCGGUCUGUCAAGUCGGAUGUGAAAUCCCCGGGCUCAACCUGGGAACUGCAUUCGAAACUGGCAGGCUAGAGUCUUGUAGAGGGGGGUAGAAUUCCAGGUGUAGCGGUGAAAUGCGUAGAGAUCUGGAGGAAUACCGGUGGCGAAGGCGGCCCCCUGGACAAAGACUGACGCUCAGGUGCGAAAGCGUGGGGAGCAAACAGGAUUAGAUACCCGAGUAGUC
rnacentral:rRNA from 1 species